rnacentral:ncRNA from 1 species
AAAACGGCCCUUUUCAGGGCCACCAAUUUUCAACCAAGAUUCUUAU